ACAUACAGAUUUGGACAAAGUGAUAUUUAUGUGUGGGAGCUGAGCCAACGAGGUGUAGUGCUUGUAUGCCACGUUUUUGAACCUUUGGUGUGCUGGCACUCUAGGAAUCCUCCUUCAUCAAGCGUGGAUGAGCUCCACUGCACCUGCCCCUAUAUUCAGUACCUUGGGCUGCCGUAUUGAGUGAAGAUUUCUUCCUUGCCCUCAAAUUCUAGCCAAAGUUCACUGCUUGAGUGUGCAGUCCUUAUGUACUGCUGGUAUAACCCCCUCCCUAGCCCAGGUUUGCCCCCUUCUCCCCAUGGACUGGAUGCGCUCAGUGACCCCUCCCCCUGCCUACUUAUUCAGUGUGUUCCACGGCUGAGUUCAGAAAAGCUUUUCUCCCUUGUUCUCGAGCUGUAGUCCCAGUCCACUACAAAGGUGUUGGAGUCCUGGUAUUCUUGCUGGUGUGCAUCCUCUCUUUCAGCCACCAAGUUUGUUUUACUCUAGAGCUGAAUGCCAACCUCUUGCCUGUGGUGACCAAACCCAACCGUUUUUCACCUCCUCGUGGACAAAGUUUCCCACAAGUAUUCUUGGCCGUGUACUACUUGUUCCAUGCUCGGCAAAGAACACCUAGAAGAAGUGGUGUUUGAAGGAGUCUACUCCAGUGCCUGCUCAUCAAGUGGAUGGAGCUAUCUAACUAAAGAUUGGGUAGAAGGAUCUAGAGCCUCUUCUCUGCAACAAAGGCAAGCCCCGGUGCAUUUGCCCCUUUCUUUGUAUUUUUAAAGACUUUUAUACACUUUAAGUCUAGUGAAAUGUGCAUUAAGUUUAUAGGAGUUGCUUGAAAACUAUUUGAUGCAUUGACUACCUUGAUAUCCAUUCCUGUAAUAGAUACUUCUUUGGAAGUAUCAAAUAUUGUUUAAAAAAAUGCUUAGCCCUGCUUAGAUCUUGUGGAUAGAAGUUGUCUUUUGCAAUAAUGCCUAGCUCAGGGGUUAUCCUAUAAUGUGCUCUUUUCAUCCUAAGGAACACAAACAAUGCUAAGGAUGGAAGUACUUAAAUCGGGACUUGGGUUAGGAACAGGUGAUGUUCUACCCAGGUUAAUUAAGGAUUGGAUGCGUAUGUAGGCCUGUAUGAUCAAGGACUAUCUUAACUAGUCACAUGCCCUGGAUAUGGGACAGGGUAAGCUUGAACCCGGCUAUUCCAUACAUGAAAAGACAAUCGCGCACUGGGAGUGGAGAGAUGGCGAGAGUGGCACGUACCCUCCUGGCAAAGGACCGCCUAAAAAGGGUGGUGUGCUCUCGGGUGGCGCGGACCUGUUCAUGCAGUGGAGGAUCCGUGGGAAUGGUAGACAUAUGCGAGAGUUACGAGAAACAUAUGUCGUGUGGUUAGAGAUCCUCAGCUGAGUAAAUCGAUUCGGAUCGCCGUUAUAUCCCUGGAGAGUGGAGACUUGAUCGUUGCCCUGCAACCUAAGUCAGGAUGUAAACAUUAUGAAUAAAAAUGAUGUUGUAUUGAUGAGAUGGUGAAAUUAGACUAGAUGCAACCAGAGUCUAUUAAUAUUUAAUCUGGCGUUAAAAUAUUGAAAGUAAGGACUCACUUUAGUAAGCUAUUUCUGCAAAAGUAUCUAAGUUGAUUCUUGCUAAAGCCUUUUCCUUGACUCCUACUUAACCAGCAUAUCCUUGAGAGUCAUUUUUCCUUAGUCGGGUAAGACUUGCGAAAGUACACUCCAUACUCAGAGUUUUCGAACCCAUGUUGUUGUAGGUGAUGAGGAGUACUCUAGAUGUUCCUGAGGCUGGAGAGCGUUUCUAGUUCUGGAGGAGGACUAGCUAGGUUUAUGUAUAAGCUUUGGAGGGUUUCUACCUUCCUGCUUUUGUAAUAAGUUAUGCACUUUGAGUAUAUCAGUACUUGUAAUAAAUAUUAUUCUUUCGAAACAUGUAAAACUUGAGUUUUGAAAAGGUAAAGAAUGUUUGUAAA